rnacentral:rRNA from 1 species
AAUCAAACCCGGAGAUAUCUCGUUCUCCCCGAAAUAGCUUUAGGGCUAGCGUCGCGCGUUCACCGCCGGAGGUAGAGCACCGGAUGGACGAGGGGGCUUCGCCGCCUACCGAAUCCAACCGAACUCCGAAUGCCGGCGGCCCAGAGCGCGGCAGUCAGAGCAUGUGGGCUAAGCUGUGUGCUCGAGAGGGAAACAGCCCGGACCGCCCGCUAAGGUCCCCAAGUUCCAGCCGAGUGGCAAAGGAUGUGCGUCCGCCCAGACAACCAGGAUGUUGGCUUAGAAGCAGCCAUCCAUUCAAAGAGUGCGUAACAGCUCACUGGUCGAGUGGACAUGCGCCGACAAUACACGGGGCUAAGCUGGACACCGAAGCGGCGGGAUUUUGAUUUACAGAAUCGGUAGGGGAGCUUCCCAUGGGCGGAGAAGCCGGAGGGCGACCGACGGUGGAGCGCAUGGGAGUGAGAAUGCUGGCAUGAGUAGCGAGAGACGAGAGAGUAACUCGUCCGCCGUGAACCCGAGGUUUCCUGGGCAAGGCUAAUCCUCCCAGGGUCAGUCGGGGGCUAAGGCGAGGCCGGGAGGCGUAGCCGACGCGCAGCAGGCAGACAUUCCUGCACCGCGCACGCGGCGCUACGACCGACGGGGCGACGGAUGGGGGUGGCUCGGCGGGGUUCUGGACGUCCCCGUGAUGGAGCGCGGCCCGCGGACCAGGGAAAUCCGGUCCGCAUUGAGGGCGAGGCUCCGGACGAAGCACUUAAGCGAAGCGAGUGAGCCCGAGGUCCCUAGAAAAACCCCUAGGCAGGCGCGUGCGCGCCCGUACCGCAAACCGACACAGGUGGGUGGGUAGAACAUACCGAGGCGAUCGGGUCAACCAUGGUCAAGGAACUCGGCACAAUGGCCCCGUAACUUCGGGAGAAGGGGUGCCCGCGCGUACGUGAACCGGCUUGCCCGGGGAGCGGAGGCGGGCCGCAGUGGAGAGGCCCAAGCGACUGUUUACCAAAAACACAGGACUCUGCAGAAGCCGCAAGGCGACGUAUAGGGUCUGACGCCUGCCCGGUGCCGGAAGGUCACGCGGAGGAGUUAGCGCAUCGCGCGAAGCCCCGAAGCCAAGCCCCGGUAAACGGCGGCCGUAACUAUAACGGUCCUAAGGUAGCGAAAUUCCUUGUCGGGUAAGUUCCGACCUGCACGAAAGGCGCAACGACUUGGGCGCUGUCUCGACCAUGGACCCGGUGAAAUUGCACUGGUCGUGAAGAUGCGACUUACCCGCGGAAGGACGGAAAGACCCCGUGAACCUUCACUGCAGCUUGGCAUUGGCCGCUGGUCCCGCGUGUAGAGGAUAGGCAGGAGGCUAAGAUCCGGAGGCGCCAGCCCCCGGGGAGCCGCCCUUGGAAUACUGCCCUCGCGCGACCGGCGUCCUAACCCGAGGCCGUCAACCGGCUCGGGGACCGUGCCAGGCGGGCAGUUUGACUGGGGCGGUCGCCUCCUAAAGGGUAACGGAGGCGCGCGAAGGUCCGCUCGGGACGGUCGGCAACCGUCCUUUUGAAUGCAAGAGUACAAGCGGGCUUGACUGCGAGGCCCACAAGCCGAGCAGGUGCGAAAGCAGGCUCUAGUGAUCCGGCGGCCCCGAGUGGGUGGGCCGUCGCUCAACGGAUAAAAGGUACUCCGGGGAUAACAGGCUGAUCUUGCCCAAGAGUCCACAUCGACGGCAAGGUUUGGCACCUCGAUGUCGGCUCAUCGCAUCCUGGGGCUGGAGCAGGUCCCAAGGGUACGGCUGUUCGCCGUUUAAAGCGGUACGCGAGCUGGGUUCAGAACGUCGUGAGACAGUUCGGUCCCUAUCCUCCGUGGGCGCAGGAGAAUCGAUGGAGGCUGCCCCCAGUACGAGAGGACCGGGGUGGACGCACCUCCGGUGAACCGGUUGUCGACCAACGGCACGGCCGGGUAGCCGCGUGCGGCGCGGAUAACCGCUGAAGGCAUCUAAGCGGGAAGCCGUUCCAGGGAUUAGUUCUCCUUCCGGUAAGGGCCCAGGUAGACUACCUGGUCGAUAGACGGCAGGUGCAAGGACGGCGACGUCCUCAGCCGAGCCGCACUAAUCGCCCGAGCUCUUCCGGA